rnacentral:rRNA from 1 species
GACGAACGCUGGCGGCGUGCUUAACACAUGCAAGUCGAGCGGAAAGGCCCCUUUGGUGGUCCUCGAGUGUCGAACGGGGGAGUAAGACGUGAGUAACCUGCCCUUGCCUUCGGGAUAGCUUCAGGAAACUGGGGCUAGUACCGGAUAGGGAUCCUUUCUGCAAGGUGGGGGUUGGAAAGCUUCGGCGGGUUUGGAUGGACUCGCGGCGUAUCAGCUUGUUGGUGGGGUAGUGUGUUACCAAGGCGUUGACGGGUAGCCGGCCUGAGAGGGCGACCGGCGACACUGGGACUGAGAUACGGCCCAGACUCCUACGGGAGGCAGCAGUGCGGAAGAUUGCACGAUGGGCGGCAGCCUGAUGAAGCAGCGCCGCGUGCGGGAUGACGGCCUUCGGGUUGUAAACCGCAUUCAGAAGGGGCGAAGCUUGUGGUGACGGUACCUGCAGAAGAAGCACCGGCUAACUACGUG